rnacentral:rRNA from 1 species
GACGAACGCUGGCGGCGUGCCUAAUACAUGCAAGUAGAACGCUGAAGGAGGAGCUUGCUUCUCCGGAUGAGUUGCGAACGGGCGAGUAACGCGUAGGUAACCUGCCUGGUAGCGGGGGAUAACUAUUGGAAACGAUAGCUAAUACCGCAUAACAGUAGAUGUUGCAUGACAUUUGCUUAAAAGGUGCAAUUGCAUCACUACCAGAUGGACCUGCGUUGUAUUAGCUAGUUGGUGAGGUAACGGCUCACCAAGGCGACGAUACAUAGCCGACCUGAGAGGGUGAUCGGCCACACUGGGACUGAGACACGGCCCAGACUCCUACGGGAGGCAGCAGUAGGGAAUCUUCGGCAAUGGACGGAAGUCUGACCGAGCAACGCCGCGUGAGUGAAGAAGGUUUUCGGAUCGUAAAGCUCUGUUGUAAGAGAAGAACGAGUGUGAGAGUGGAAAGUUCACACUGUGACGGUAUCUUACCAGAAAGGGACGGCUAACUACGUG